rnacentral:miRNA from 1 species
ACUGCUGAAAGUCACUUUAGG